rnacentral:rRNA from 1 species
UGGGGGAUAUUGCACAAUGGGCGAAAGCCUGAUGCAGCGACGCCGCGUGGGGGAUGAAGGCUUUCGGGUUGUAAACCUCUUUCGCUAUCGAACAAGGCCCGCUUAGGGUGGGUUGAGGGUAGGUGGAGAAGAAGCGCCGGCUAACUACGUGCCAGCAGCCGCGGUAAUACGUAGGGCGCGAGCGUUGUCCGGAAUUAUUGGGCGUAAAGGGCUUGUAGGCGGCUUGUUGCGCCUGCUGUGAAAACGCGGGGCUUAACUUCGCGCGUGCAGUGGGUACGGGCAGGCUUGAGUGUGGUAGGGGUGACUGGAAUUCCAGGUGUAGCGGUGGAAUGCGCAGAUAUCUGGAGGAACACCGAUGGCGAAGGCAGGGCACUGGGGCAUUACUGACGCUGAGGAGCGAAAGCAUGGGUAGCGAACAGG